UGCUUCAAUGCAGGGAGUUUGCUUGAGCCAGAGAACUGGUAUUCAUUCUUUUGUUCUUCCACUUGAUAUAGAGAAUUUUCUGAAAACAUCUCUGAUGGUAAC